rnacentral:sRNA from 1 species
UCGACGAAACGAGGUGGGAUAGCGCUUGAAGAUAAUACAAUUUACGGGAAAAUAAAACAAAAAUUAAUGUUGCAUACAGCAACGCGGACGAACGGUGUGCGUGAUUUUCUUUAAUGUGUUGACAAGUAAUUGAGGCGUUUAGUGAGAAAAUAAAUUCACAAAAAAGAAUCAAACAACCAGAAAAAUAAUUACACAUUUGUCGGAAAAAGUCAUUGUUCCCCAGUAGCUGUUUGUUGUUGCUGACAGAAUUGUAUUUGUCCAGUGCUUGUGGUGCUAAUUAAAGGAAAAUAAUGCCAUGAAAAGUCAGUAAAGAAAAUAACUGCA